UUUUUAUUUCAUAUGCUUGGGCCUAUAUUAUAUGGUCAGACUGUAUUAUAUUUGGAUCUUCUUACAGGUAAGCUGAAUUUUAUAAAAUUUGAAUCAUCAAGAAGGUAACGUUUUCCAUAGGACAAACAUGAGUUACUAUAAUUUAGACAUUAUCAAUCCUUUGUUUUUUUCGGAUAAUUUUUUUAUAAAUUCUUCUUAUAUCACAUAUUAUAUUUUUUACAUUUCCCUCCCUCUCUACCUCCCUAUAAAUAGCUUGCCAAUUCCAUCGUUCCCUCAUACCAAGUUCAAUAAUCAAUAAUCAUCAUCCAAUAAUAAGAUGAAGAUUAUUCACAUAGUUUUUCUUUUCUCUUUUCUUUCAUUCACUACUUCCCAAGCUUCUGUCAAUGAUUUUUGUGUAGCAGAUUUAAAGGCUCCAGAUACCCCUUCAGGCUAUCACUGCAAACCCCUAGCAAAUAUCACAUCAGACGAUUUUGUCUUUCAUGGCUUCAAAGCUGGAAACACCAACAACUCUUUCAACGCUGCACUUACCUCCGCAUUCGUCACUGAUUUUCCAGGCCUUAAUGGACUAGGAAUCUCAGCAGCGCGGUUAGACAUAGCGGAAAAUGGUUCAAUUCCAAUGCAUACUCAUCCUGGUGCUACCGAAUUAUUGAUAAUAGUUCAAGGUGAAAUAACCGCUGGAUUUCUGACACCUACCGCAGUUUAUUCUAAGACGUUGAAACCGGGUGAUCUUAUGGUUUUUCCACAAGGGAUGUUGCAUUUUCAAAUUAACACUGGUAAGGGAAAAGCAACUGCUUUUCUUACUUUUAGUAGUGCUAACCCUGGUGCUCAAUUACUUGAUCUUCUUUUGUUUUCGAAUAAUUUACCUUCUCAAUUGGUGGCACAAACUACUUUCCUUGAUCUUGCACAAGUGCAGAAGCUAAAGGCACGUUUUGGUGGAAGAGGGUAGGGAUAUGAUAUUGUUUGGUCAUGAUCAUAACCCACUCUCCUUGUGUAAAUGUUUAUUCCAAUAAUCACCUAGUGGUGGAUUUGAUUGUGUGUCUGUGUUAUUUUAUUUUAUUCUAUGUUUUAGCUAUUCCAAAUGUUAUGAUAUAUGGUUACUUGUGAUAAUGAAGUAAUAAAUUGUGUGUGAUACAUUUCUUGGUUCCUCUUUCUAUCUCUCAACCUGUCUCCUAAUUUUUUUGUUGAAUUAUGGCAACAUUUAAAAUUGAAUUGAAGAUUGAAUGAGCACGACCUGGAGAUUAUGAUUUAAUUAGCUCAAUCACUUGAAUCACAAUUGAACUAAAUGAUUAAUCUAUAAAUAAAAAAAGUAAUUGCAAAAACAAAUCUUAUUAAAUUAUUACGAUUCAAUCGGUUCAACCUUAUUCAAAAUGACUUCGAUGCGACUAUGAUUUCUAACCCAUUUUAUUUUAGAUUUAACUAGUUGAACUAAUAAUUUAAUAGAAUAUGCAACUUAGACUUAUUUACCAUUUUUGGGUGUUAGAAGUUAGAAAAUUUUACAUGAUGUGGAUAACAUCACAAUACAAUUCAAAGUAGUGGGCUAUAAUUUAUGAGAAAUGAUAUUUGAACAAUAAUUUUUAACAACUUUUGUGACAACUUUAUCUCUCAUACUCACAUUAAUUUUUUACUCUCUCUCUAUUGCUUUGGUUUUUGUGUCACUAUCUCAUUUCUUUUGCAAAAUUUUGAUUGUCACAAAAGUUGUCACAUGUAUGGAUGUUCAUAUAACACAACUCAUAAUUUAUUCAUUAAAACCUUACUUAUAUAUCAACAAGCAAAACUAGGCGUAAGACGAUUGAGUCAGCCUCUACUUGGUAGUUGGUUCUAAUCUCAUUGCCAUUGCUUCGGUGCAUCAACCUCGAGAGUGUGGAAACGGUAAAUUGGUUUGCGAGUACUGAUUCGCGGUAUUUUAAUGAAUUUGUUUGCGCAAAAUCGUGAGCAAUUCAUAGCAAAGUGCGUACGUGACAGAAGUAUAAAACAAAUCAAACAAGUUUAAUUCAAAUUUCACAUAUUGUAUGUCAAACACAAUAAAUAUCUGACCAACUUGAUAGAAGAGCUCAUCUGCCAUGAACAUGCAGCAACCAUUAGUGCAAACUGUAAAAUUAGGUCAUAGAAAAUUCAAGGCUAAAAUAUGGUUUUAGUCCCUGCAAAUAUGUCUCGUUUUGGUUUUAGUCUCUGUAAAAAGAAAAUUUUGUUUUUGGUCCCUGCUAAAUAAUUUGUUUUUGAAAAUAGUCCCUAGCCCCACUUUUGUGAUGAUUUGCAUACGUGUUACAUUAUAACUGAACCAAUUUUGUAGUUUUUGGUCCCUGCAAAAUAUUUUGUUUUUAAAAAAGGUCCUUGAAUUUUUUUUUUGUUUUUGAAAUUUUUUGCAGGGACCAAAAACAAAAAAUUUUGUUUACAGGGACUAAAACCAAAACGAGGCAUAUUUGCAGGGGCUAAAACCAUAUUUUAGCCAAAAUUCAAAUGCAUAGUAGUGUGUACCACUACCAACCUGGAUGUUGUGCAGGGGCAGCUAAGAAGCUUAUAGUAAAAUGGUCAUAUAGAGAUUAAGGUUCUUGUAUAUGCAAAAACAAUGAUUAUAAAGAGUCAUAUAUUAUAUAUAGGCUUAAAUAAGUAAAAGGUCUCUGUAAGUUGGCGCAUUUUUGGUUUUAGUCCCUGUAAGUUUUUUUGUUGCGAGACAAACCCUGUAUUUACCAAACGUUUUGGAUCUAGUCCCUGCCGUCCAAUUCCGUGAAAAAAUGAUGACCUUGCUAACGGAGCAAUACGUGGCACUUCGUGAGUUGGCACUAGUUGAUGACUGGGGUUAAUAUAGGGACUAAAACCAAAAAUGCAAUUUAACAUAGGGACUAAUUUAAAAAAACGUAAUCAUCAAUUUUUAAAUUUUAAAAACCAGUCUUUCCUUCUUCUUCCUCUCUCUGUUCUUUCCUUCUUCUUCCUCUAUUUGUUAGUUCUUUAAUUGCUUGUGCCCAAAAACUCAAACCUCAUUUCCUUCAACGAUGUCUUCUCAUUCCAUUUCUCAUUCAUCAUCAAAUGAGUUGCCUAUAAGUGCCAAUUACUUCUUUAAGUUCUGCUUCAUUUGUUCCUCCUUGAGUCUCCAAAAGCAAAUCAGUGAUAAUUACUUCCAUUUGUUUCCCCUCGCGCACCUUAAUCUUAGCCCAUCCAACCAAGUUUGUGUCACCAAAAUCCUCCUUAUCACCAGGCCUUUUCCCAUUAAGAAGUUCCAUCAUUACAACACCAAAUGAAUAAACAUCACCCUUUGCAGUGCACCUGAAACUUUGGUAAUACUUUGGUGGAACAUAUCCAGGUGUUCCUGCUAGUGUGCUUACACUGAGAUGUGUAUCAAGUGCACUUAUUAGUCUUGCCAUUCCGAAAUCCAAGACUCUUGACUCCAUUUCAUUGUCAAGUAAUACAUUGCUUGACUUCAUGUCUUUGUGUAUGAUGUGAGGGAUGCAAUUAUGAUGCAGAAAACAAAGUCCUUUAGCAGCACCUCUUGCAAUCUUCUUCCUUUCUUCCCAUGUUAAAAUUCGUCGAUCACAUGUCUUUAUUCUUCUGUGGAGCAUCUCUUCUAGGCUUCCAUAUUCCAUGUAUUCAUAAACAAGUAGCCUCUCUUCUCCUACUUUGCAGUAUCCCAAUAAAGGGACAAGGUUUUUAUACUUGAUUUUUUCUAAGGUUUCCAUCUUAGCCAUGAAUUCUCUAUCACCUUGGCAACUCAGUCGAAUGAGCUUCUUUAUCGCGACACAUGUUCCGUCUUUGAGUGUGGCCUUAAACACUUCACCAAAACCACCACAACCAAUGAGGCUUGCUGCUGAGAAGCCAUUGGUUGCUUCAAUCAACUGUGAGAAUUUAAGCUUUCUCAAUUACCUCUGAAAUGUUGCAAUAUUAAUGCAUAAUGGCUCUUUCUCUUUAUCAAUUUUCCAUGUUGUAGCAGCAUGACAUGCGAAUUGGAGAUGAACAUCCUCAUAAUUUUUCUACAACCACAUAUUGACAACUCAUUUGAUGAUGAUUGACAAAUGGAAUGAGAAUACAUUGUUCCAUGAAAUGAGUUUUUGGUGUUAGGGCGCAAAGCUAUCGAAGGGUGGGAAUGGCAGAAAUGAAGAAGAGAGAAAUAACAUAGUGAGGAAGAAGGUGGAAAUAAUAAGUUUUAAAAUUCAAAUUUUGAUGAUUAUGUUUUUUAUUUUCAUCCCUAUGUAAAUUUGCAUUUUUGGUUUUAGUCUCUCUAAUAACCAAUUGCCAACUCAUCAUAUGCCACAUAUUAGUCCGUUAGCCAGCGAAGCGUUUUUUUGACGGAAACGGACGGCGGGGACGAAUGUCAAAAUGUUAAGUAAAUACAGGGGUUGUUUCGCAACAAAAAAAGAUACAGGAACUAAAACAAAAAAUGCGCGAACUUACAGGGACCUUUUUCUUAUUUAAGCCUUAUAUAUAUAUUGUUCAUCUUCAAAAUGUCACGACGACAACGUAAAUUAAUGCGGCACUGCAAAAAUAAUAUCACUAAACACAAACUGAAACAAAUUUCUAGGGAGAUAUUCCUGAUGGCAGUUGCAUCGUUCAAGACAGAAGUAAUUGUUCUUUAACUUAUUUUCUAAAUACGCAUACAAUUGUAAAACACAGUCAAAUUUUAUUGAGUGAAAUUAUGGUUGGAACGUGAUGGAGAUUUCCAUUCCUCCAAUUCUCUUCGUACACCUCUCUUGUUGUACCCAAUUUCUUCGAAGGCCUUUAGGGAUGGUGCUGUUCGUUCAACGGUGUUACUGCCAAUACAAAAGAUUAACAGUGUUCAAUAAAAUCCUAUAUGUUAGGAAACAAAGUGCUGAAGAAGAAAAAUAAGCACAAUCACAAUAUAAGAAUAUAAUGUUAGGAAACAUGGUAUCCAUGAAAAGAAGGAGAGAAAACUAAGAAACUCUUUCUAUUGAUGAAAAUGGAAUAUUACAAAAUGAGAAAAGUACCCUCUAAUGGGGUGGUUACAAGUUAUUUAUACUACUCUCUACUAGGACUAAUAUGCUACUAAUCUAUAUCUCUAAUAGUCCCCCUCAAGUUGGAAGGUGUUCAAAACACUUCCAACUUGAAAUGAGAAAAUACAAGGAAAGAUGCCAGAAAUACAUUGGCCAAGAACAUAGCAACAAUCAAAGGCUUAUCCAACAAGAGGAAACCACAACUCAAGGUGUAAUCACCUUGGAGGAAGAAGCAGCAAACCAACGCUUAACCACCAUCCGGUAGAAGCCAAUCAUCAACAAAGCCUUAAAAGGCACAAUGCUUAACCAUCAAGAGUUCUCAAUAACUCAAGACAGAAGCACAAGAAGAAGAAGAAAAUGACGCUUAACCAUCCUUGGACAGAAGCACAACGACGCUUAACCAUUCAUGACAGAAGCUUAUCAACAUAGCUUAACCAUCAUGAACAGAAGCACAAGACAAGAAGAGUAAGGAUAUCUAAAAUCAAUGAUGAUCUCCAAAAGAAAAAGUGCAAGGAAGGGCCAAAGUUUACAAUGGAAGGAGGUCAUAUGUUGAACAAACUGCACAUCAAAGGUACCAUGAAGCAACAAGACCAAGGUUCCAAAGUUAAAAAAGAGAUGCGCUCCAAUGCCGAGCCGAGACAAGAAAAACCAAAUGCAAGCCAAUAGAGAUGCAUAGCCAUGUGAGGUGUCUUCAAACCAUAGAAAACAAAUCCAUGUUGAUGCAUUCAAACCAUAGGCCAACAAAUCAAUACUUCCAACAAUGAAGCUUAAGAAAAUACCAACAUAGCCAAAACCAGAAAAAAAAAAAUGCAGCAGUAAUGCUGCACAAAAUAAAACCAAAAUGCAGCUAAGAGACAUCAAAAUGAACUCAAGAAGAUGCUUUAACGGUCUGCCCAAAAAUUCAUCAACGAUCCAGGAACAAUCCCAUGCUUCAGAUAUCAAACCAAGGCUUCCAAAAACGAUCCUAAGCCAUCAAGAAAUAAAUCCAUAGCCAAUGAACAAAAUGCAGUAGCAAUAUGAAGCACUGUACUGUGUUGGAAUAGCAUGCAACACUAACAAAAUGCCUAAUCAGCCUCACAAUUUCAUUUGUUCCUUUCACACACAAGAAUAUAGAGAAACCAUCUGAACAGCUUGGAGUGUACUAAAGGCUUCUUCAAUUACUAUUCAAAAAAUGCUUGACCAUAUCAGAUCCAACACCAUGAUAAGCAAUCAAAUGCCAAACAAAACUUAGCCCACCAGUAUGCAAUAUCUAUAAGACUACCAAGUGUGAUAGCAACACCAUAAAAGAAACAAAGAAGUAUGCCAAAACCAAUGAUAUCCAAAGAGAAUGUAGAACAAACAACCAAGCUGUAAUUGGAUCCCAAAGAAUGCAUCAAAAAAACUAUACGUGAAAGGAAGAUCCUUACAUAACACUGCAACAACAUAGCCAUACACAUAAGUCUGGGUCCGCCAAUCUUCAAUCAUAAUAUAAGAGUACCUUAACAUGAACUGCUCCAAAAAUGUAGUAGUGAUGAAGAGGUUCACAAGAAAAUGCACGCAUAGACCAAUAACGUCAUGCAGCAGUCAACAACAGCACCUCAAAGCAAGUCCAAUGCAAUGUUGGAUCAGAACAAAUUGCAGUGUUACCAACAACCAUCACCAUCAAACUGAACGUAAUAUGCAAUAAGGACCAAAAAACACCAAAAUAUCAAGGUAAUAGAAUCCAACUCUAUCUGCACCACAUGCACAAUUGUAUACAACCAGAGAAAAUGAACUAAUUGCAGCCUUGUCUAAAUAGCAGAACAUAGAACUUCAUCAAAAGAAUCAUGAACCAAGAAUCAAUAUGUUUGCAGUGAGGACUUGCUACAAACAUCUUGUGAGCACAAUAGUCAUAAACUGCAGUUACAAUAAAACUCGCUUAUGAGAAACCGAAUUCUCAAUACAAUACAAUAAUGAAACAGGGAAGAAGAUGAAAUAUCAACGACACAUAGAAUCAAUGCGAAAAAGACGACUCUGAGCCGAAUCGAAAAUUUUAAUGAAGAGGAAUCGCAAAAAAAAAUAAAAUUGAAUCACGGAUUCGAAUCGAAACUGGAAAUUGCGAUCGAGUAAGAAUUCGAUCAAGACUUUUGAAUCACGUGGGAAAUUGAACCAAAACUAACAGAACAAAGAAGAACGAACAAAGAAAAUUGAUCGAGAGAGAAAAGGAAAUCGCCAUUGUAACUGAAUCGCAAACCCUAAGAUUUGGGAAAAAGACACAAACGGAAUCACGAAGCAAUCGAUCGAACAAAAAGAUGUAAAAGAAUCGAAUGAAAUUGAGAUGCAGAUCAAAAGAGAAAUCGAUCGAACAAAUCAAUAACAGAAAAACGAUUCGAGUACAAGACAAAGGAAAAUGAAGAAAAUGAAGUGAUAAAAGAGAAAAAUCAGAACGAAGAAGAAAAGGAAAACAACACGAGAAAAAUGAACUUUUCUCGAGAAAAUGCAGCGGAAAAAUUGUUCAAGGUGGAUACCAAUCAUGCUCUGAUACCAUGUUAGGAAACAUGGUAUCCAUGGAAAGAAGGAGAGAAAACUAAGAAACUCUUUCUAUUGAUGAAAAUGGAAUAUUACAAAAUGAGAAAAGUACCCUCUAAUGGGGUGGUUACAAGUUAUUUAUACUACUCUCUACUAGGACUAAUAUGCUAAUAAUCUAUAUCUCUAAUAUAUAACGUGGAAACUUUAAAACUGGAUAAAAAACCACGACCGUUGUCUAAACCGACAACCAGAAAAUGAUUACUAUGGGAUUUUUUUUACAACACAUAGACUUCUCUCACUCUCACCCCAAUGCUCCAGUACAAUCAUACUCUCACAAAGCAAAUAUUUAAACUAAGUCAGAUAUAAGCUUAAAGUGCUACUGACUGGUGCAUCUACAAACAAAGAACCUAGGUCCAAUAUAUAGUCAUGGUCCUCCCAUUGCUUCACCACACUAAGCGAUGUAGGACUUUUCCAAUAGCAAAUAUUUUUUAACCUCCUUAUUUAUUUAAGAAACUUGACAAUCAAACCCAACAAUCUCCACCUUGAUUGUACGAGUUUCAUCUUUCGCUUCCAUUGUUUAUACUGACAAUCAUACUCCACCAUAAAGAGUAUACUUCACUUGAAACUAGACCUUUCCAAGAAUUUCUCCACGUCAAAACCUUGCUGAAAGAUUACGGUGCAACUCCCAUGUUGGAUUUCAGGAAGUUCUUCAGCCAUCGACACAUCUCACCACACACCUUGCAUUAAUUAAUUUCUUAAACAAUUUAUAAUUAAUUUGUAUCUCGUUUAAAGACUACAAAAUUUCAUUGUGAAGGUUCUUAUCAUGUUCUAGUCAUGCCUACAAAAUUAGGGAACUAAAUUUGACUUGUGAGUAUACGCUUACGCGGAACAAAAUUUCAAUUUUGCAUGUUUUGAUUGAAAAAUCAAAAUAAAUUUAAACGACUUCGAAAUGCAAUGAAACUUUACAGAUCCGUUUUAUGUAUUUUUUUAUAGAUGUCUAUGCAAAUAAUGAGCUCAAAAUUCGAUUUAUAGGUCGAGAUUUCCAUUGUUUUGUUUUUUGAGCUUUUGACACUUUAAAAAUUCAUAAUUAAUUUGUCGUAUGUCGAAAAUUUAUAUAUUUUUAGUGUAAAGCCAUAUUUUAACAUUCUUAACUCGCCUCUAACAAAUCAUGAAAAAAAUUGAAUCUCUCGGUUUCUUUUUUGGACUUCGCAUAUAUUACAGAGUUAUAAAUAAUAAAAAUCUUGAGUUACAUGGUAAGAAUACAUGUUAUUUAAUUACAGGGCCAAUUUUCAGACUUCACGUAUAUUAUAUGAUCAAUUUCAAUUAAUAAUCUUAUUUUAAAUUGUACUUUUGUUGACUAAAUGAUAAAACCUAUUUUAUUUCGAUUUUUUUAAUUAAAAUUAAAAUUAAAAAAAAAGUUUCAAUUUAUGAUUGUUGAUAUAUUAUGUCGCAUGUGAAUUUGCGAUAAAUUUUUUGCCCAAUCUCCAUAAAUUUCCAGACUCCGCCACUGUAUAGUACCUACUCAAAGAAUACUUGUUAUCAUCCCUAAUUGUGCGCUAACACUCCUCAAUUCAAAAUGACAUAAUAGCAUGCUUGUUGAGGAAAAAUUAUUGCCUUUAUUAUAACAAAAUUAGUUAAUUUUUUUUUUGAGGAAAACUGAAUUAGUUAGUGAAAAUUAAGUAAAAGACUAUGAAGAUAAUUUAAAUUUAUACAAAUCGUCACUUGACCAAUCUUAUUGCAAUAAAUUAAUAAAACGUCAUUUCAAAAAGAUUUGUGGCUGAUCCUUAAAAAAUAAAAUCAUUCCGUGACAAUUUUUUUUAUUCUUUUUCAAAUCUUUACUCUAAAUCUUCAUCUGUCACACACAACUAACUCAAACAUCCAUAGACGUGCAAUCAAUCUCAAUGAAAGAUUAGACUACAGGGUCUUUUAUUAAUACUCUUUGUGUACACAAAUUGAAUUCACUUAAAUGUUGUUUAAAAUUCUAAUUUUAGAGUUUACAUGAAAUGAAAGAACAUAUGUUGACUCACUUAUUGUAACCUUACAUGAAAUAAGACAACAUAUAUGUAUGCAUUGUUUUAAAAACAUUGAAGAUAAACUGAAUUUACGUAGGGUAUAUAAACUGAGUUUGCAAAUUAUACAACUCUACGUAAAUUAAGAUAGAGAAUGGAGAGAGAAAAAGGAAGAUAGAGAAUAAGAAGAUAAUGUGAGUAUGAGAGAGAAAGUUGUUAAAAUGUUUUUUUAAAGAAAAAAGUUGUUAAAAUGUUGUCACAAAGUGGAUGUACAAAUAUCAUUUCUCUAUAUAAAAUAUACAAAAUAUAUGGAGGAUUAUUGAUAAAAAAAAACAUGGGGAUUAAUUAUUGCUAAGAAUAAAUUAUUUUGAAAUACUCCCCUAUUUUUUUUUUUAAAUUCUCUUGACCAAAUUUUUCUUUUUUUAAAAUUCAUUGAAAUAAACCAAAAACAAAUACUCCAUUUCUAACAAAAAUAUAGACAUAAAGAGGAUCAAAGCGUCAAAUAGUCUUGCCCUCAAUUUUUUUUACUUUUAGAACAUCUUUUGUUUAUGUUUUCGUUACAAAGAGUAUGCAAAAUUAGACUGACUUAUUUUAAUUCAUUUAUAUAUAAUAUAUGGUAGUAUUUGUGAUAAUGUUUGUUAGAACCUAUGAAAAUAAUUUAUAACAUCUAAGUUUAGUUCCAUAAUUUUACAGAAUAGUUUAUAGAAACAACUUAAAAAUAUAUUAAAUAUAAAUGUUUUUUUUUUGUUUUAAAAAAGUAUAUAGAAAUAUUUAUAUUGAUAAGCUUAUAAUAUAUAUAUAUUAUGAAGUAAAAACAUCCUUUGUAUAUUAUAAACGAUUAAUUAUUUUGUUUAUUCAAAUAUGACCUCCUAUAUUAUUUUUUUUUUUGUUGGAAAGACGUCUAAAAACUAAUCAUUUUUGGUGGUGGUCGGGGUUCAACCCAGUAUAUAUUAUGCAUUGUUCCUACCCACUGAGCUAAGCUCAUGAUGACCCAAAAACCAAUCAUUGAUACACGAUAUAUAUAUAUAUAUAUAUAUAUAUAUAUAUAUAUAUUGACAAAAAUAAAUGAUAUGCAUUCAUUCAAAUUGAUAGAGUUCAUCGAUACAAUACUAAUUCGAUAAAAAGAAAAAGAAUGAAUUUGCGAACAAACUCAUAACAUCCAUGUUAAUAUCAUAAAACAACAAAGUACAAAAACAUACUUAUAUGACUAUAUUCAAGUAUCCGGAAUACCCAUGUCUCUAGAUCUGCAACGUGGACGACGCAAAGUCAUAGAUUGAAUCUGCACUGGUCGAAGCGGAUAUGACAAUCUAAACCGAACAAAUACCUGCAUGAAACAAAUAAGACAAACAAUGUUGCACAAAGACGACGAACAAACCAAUGUCGCACUAUGACGGCGAAAUCACAAAAUAAAAAACAAAAUAGAUGUGAAAAUCACUUAUUUCAAUUAAAAGAAAAUAAAAAAGCGAGUUAGAUGGGUGAUUUAGGGUUAAAAACUGACUCUAAAACACCUCUACUUGAUAGAUGAGGGAGAAGAAACUAGAGUUUUGGUGACGGCUCACAAGAAAGAAAAAGAAAAGAGAAAUUUAUAUAACGAUAUAGGUAUCUCUAAGUAAAUUUGUUAAAAAAAAAAAGUGUCACUAAGUAAAACAUAGAUAAAAUAAAGAGAACCAAUAUGGAAAUAUAUAAAAAAAUGCAAACAAAUAGAAGACUAUAGAUAUGUUAAAUAAAUUUUUAGUUAUAAUUUAUUAAAUAAAAAUUUUAUUAAUUUAAUUUGUCAAAAAUAAAACCUUAUUAAUUUAAAUUGACUAAAAAAUGAGUGAUAAUGUGUCAACAAAAUUCACUAGAAUCCCUAGUCGUCACCCAUUUCUUCUUCUUGUCUAUUGAAGAUGAAUGAUUUAGGGUCAAUUCUAACCUAAAAUCACCCAUCCGAAUUGUUUUUCUUUCUUUUCUAGUUGAAUAAGUGAUUUCCAUAUAUUUUUUUAUUGUUCUUUCGUUUGUUUUUGUGAUUUCAUCGUCUUUGCAUGACUCUGUUUAUUUUGAUUUUCCAUCUUAAUGUCGUGUUUAUUUGAUUGAGGUUGAAAUAUUAGCUUUGAUUAGGUGCAAAUCCGAAGACAUGAGUAUUCCAGAGAUUUGAAUAUAGUCAGGUUUGUAGGCAUAAAUACUUUGCAGUUUUAUGUUAACAUGAAUGUUGUGAUUUAUCCUUUUUGUUUUUAGAGACUUUAAAUUUAUAUUAUAUCGAUAUACUCUAUAAAUUAAAAUGAAUGAAUAUCGUUUAUUUUUUUUAAAAAAAGUCAGCAGAAUUAAAAUACUAUGAUUUGCUAAUUUGCUCAUUCACCUAUAUUGUUUAGUUGGUUUAUAUUAGUAAGUUGGAAUAUAUUAUUAUCCAUGAGAUCAUAUGGUUUACGUACUGAUUUAUCUUAUAUUAUUUUUUUUGAAAUAAUUUACAUUAUAUUACUAAAAAAAUGGAAUCGUAUUGGUGGCAUAUGAACUGGGACCGUCAUUGCUGUAUUAUCAUUGCUAUAUGUAGUUUUUAUUUCAUAUGCUUGGGCCUAUAUUAUAUGGUCAGACUGUAUUAUAUUUGGAUCUUCUUACAGGUAAGCUGACUUUUAUAAAAUUUGAAUCAUUAAGAAGGUAACGUUUUCCAUAGGACAAACAUGAGUUACUAUAAUUAGACAUUAUCAUUCCUUUGUUUUUUUCGGAUAAUUUUUUAUAAAUUCUUCUUAUUUCACAUAUAAUAUUUUUUACAUUUCCCUCCCUCUCUACCUCCCUAUAAAUAGCUUGCCAAUUCCAUCGUUUCCUCAUACCAAGUUCAAUAAUCAAAAAUCAUCAUCCAAUAAUAAGAUGAAGAUUAUUCACAUAGUUUUUCUUUUCUUUUUUCUUUCAUUCACUACUUCCCAAGCUUCUGUCAAUGAUUUUUGUGUAGCAGAUUUAAAGGCUCCAGAUACCCCUUCAGGCUAUCAGUGCAAACCCCUAGCAAAUAUCACAUCAGACGAUUUUGUCUUUCAUGGCUUCGUAGCCGGAAACACCAACAACUCUUUCAACGCUGCACUUACCUCCGCAUUCGUCACUGAAUUUCCAGGCCUUAACGGACUAGGAAUCUCAGCAGCGCGGUUAGACAUAGCCGAAAAUGGUUCAAUUCCAAUGCAUACUCAUCCCGGUGCUACCGAAUUAUUGAUAAUAGUUCAAGGUGAAAUAACCGCUGGAUUUCUGACACCUACCUCAGUUUAUUCUAAGACGUUGAAACCGGGUGAUCUUAUGGUUUUUCCACAGGGGAUGUUGCAUUUUCAAAUUAACACUGGUAAGGGAAAAGCUACUGCUUUUCUUACAUUUAGUAGUGCUAACCCUGGUGCUCAAUUACUUGAUCUUCUUUUGUUUUCGAAUAAUUUACCUUCUGAAUUGGUGGCACAAACUACUUUCCUUGAUCUUGCACAAGUGCAGAAGCUAAAGGCACGUUUUGGUGGAAGAGGGUAGGGAUAUGAUAUUGUUUGGUCAUGAUCAUAACCCACUCUCCUUGUGUAAAUGUUUAUUCCAAUAAUCACCUAGUGGUGGAUUUGAUUGUGUGUGUGUGUUAUUUUAUUUUAUUCUAUGUUUUAGCUAUUCCAAAUGUUAUGAUAUAUGGUUACUUGUGAUAAUGAAGUAAUAAAUUGUGUGUGAUACAUUUCUUGGUUCCUCUUUCUAUCUCUCAACCUGUCUCCUAAUUUUUUGUUGAAUUAUGGCAACAUUUAAAAUUGAAUUGAAGAUUGAAUGAGCACGACCUGGAGAUUAUGAUUUAAUUAGGUCAAUCACUUGAAUCACAAUUGAACUAAAUGAUUAAUCUAUAAAUAAAAAAAGUAAUUGCAAAAACAAAUCUUAUUAAAUUAUUACGAUUCAAUUGGUUCAACCUUAUUCAAAAUGACUUCGAUGCGACUAUGAUUUCUAACCCAUUUUAUUUUAGAUUUAACUAGUUGAACUAAUAAUUCAAUAGACUAUGCAACUUAGACUUAUUUACCAUUUUUGGGUGUUAGAAGUUAGAAAAUUUUACAUGAUGUGGAUAACAUCAGAAUACAAUUCAAAGUAGUGGGCUAUAAUUUAUUCAUUAAAACCUUACUUAUAUAUCAACAAGAAAAAUUAUUCGUAAGACGAUUGAGUCAGCCUCUACUUGGUAGUUGGUUCUAAUCUCAUUGCCAUUGCUUCGGUGCAUCAACCUUAAGAGUGUGGAAACCAUAAAUUGGUUUGCGAGUGCGCAAAAUCGUGGAAUUGCUAAAGUACUAAGAUGAUCAAUAUUAAUACAUUCGAGUUUUUUCUAGAGUUCUUUGGCUGAUGACAGAUUCUGCACAUUCGCAAGAACAUUCUUUGCCAAACAUAGACGAAUCGCACUUGUAACUCUCAAAUCUAGUCCCUCCCACUUAUCGGCCUCCAUGUUGGAAGUGUUUCCUUUCAGCGCCUUGUGUAAUUCUGAUUGUUUCAACACAUACUUGACUUGUGCUUUCCACAAGUCAAAGUUGAUUAUUCCAUCAAACUUCUCUAUGUCAAAUUUGAUUGCGCAUGAAUAAAACACAUCAGCUGCACAGUACCACCCUUCUUUAGCACCUUCACAAUAUCACUUUUUUUUUUUUUAUGUGAAGAUCAGACAAUGCUGCAACCACAUAACAUACUAAGACUUAUGAUAUCUCACCAACCAGAAGCUCUUGAUACAACUGUUAAGAAAUAACAGAGCUGAAGAAGAAAAAUAAGCAUAAUCAUAACACAAGAAUAUAACGUGGAAACUUCAAAAUUGGAGAAAAAAUCAUGAUCGUUGUCUAAACCGACAACCAAAGAAUUAUUACUAUGUAAUUUUUUUUACAACACAUAGACUUCUCUCAUUCUCACCCCAAUGCCCCACUACAGCAUCACUCUCACAAAACAAAUAUUUAAACUAAGUCAGAUAUAAGUUUAAAGUGGUACUAAUUGGUGCGUCUAAAAACAAAGAAAUCUAGGUCCAAUACAUGAUCUUGUCUUUCCCAUGCUUCACCAUACUAAGUGACGUAGGACUUCUCCAAUAGCUAACAAUUGAACCCAACACUAUAAACUUGACAAUCAGAUUCAAAUGAGAAGAGAGAGAAAAUAAGGGUCAAAAGAUUGAACCAAUUGCAGCAAAAAAUCCAUUUUAUAUAGUUGUGUCCAAACAAACUAAAUUACUUUUUUUUUUUUUGAUAAAAAAAAAAUAAUUUUUAUCACGGUAAACAAACGUAAAAUAAAUUCUGAUUUUUUCUUUAUAAAAUCUCUAAAAAAUAAUUUUUAAAUUAUUCAAUGUAAAAAUCACUUUUAUCUUAAUCUAUAACAAGAGACUCUUAUUAGUUUAAAAUACGAAUAUAGAAAAAAAAAUACAUUAAAUUGUGAAUUAUUGUAGAAACCCCAUGUAUCAACACGUCAACUAGCUAACGGAUGUCUAUAUAUGUCUGUAUAUGCCUAGUUUGAACUUCAUUUAUAGGUUUUAAUAAAAUAUUAUUUUUGUUCUCAAUUAUUGUACUGUUUUAAAAUUUACUUUUCACUAAAAAAAAAAAUAGUAAAAGACUACUAUUAGACCAUUUUUUAGAGGUUCAUACUAGGUAUAAGUUACAAGUUAGUUGUGUGUUACGAGUUUUUGUGUUGUAAACAUAAGUUACAAAGUUCAAAUAUCAUAUUCUUCAAUUAUUUUUUUAAUUUUUAGUUUUGGUAAUAGUGGACCUUUUUUUUCUUCAAGCAAUUCAAGGUUUAAUUAGAAUUUCAAUAUUCAGAUGAAUAAGUGAGAAAUCUAAGUCUAAAGACCCACUUUUGAUAUAUAAUACAAUGUCUUUACCGACUGAGCUAGACUGAGGAGAAUAAUUUCAUUUAUAAUUCUUUUUCAUCUUCUCCAUAAUACUUUUUUUCUUCCAUAUUGGUCUUUUAAUCUCAAAUAAAAUAAAGUCUUGUGUCAAUCGACAUUCUAUUCUCAUCUCAACUCUAAACCUUCCAAAAUUAAGUUAACAAGAAAUUUAGUUUUUCAAUUUUGUAUAAGUUAAAAUUUCCCCCUUUUAUUAUAUUUCAUAUAAAUAAACAAUUUAAGAAUUUAAUGUUUAAUUUUAUAUAAAUAAAGAACACAUAAUUUGGUAAGUCAUUUCUCAUUUUUGUAAGUAUUUCCAUAUAAUUUUUGCAUGAUCUGAUCAUGUCAUGCACUGUAAUCAAACACCACCGUUUACAUGGAGUAUAAUUUAGAUAAGUUACGUGUUAAAUAAUGACGAGAGAUCAGCAGAGAAUACUGAAUAGCAUGACCGUCAAUUAUUGAUAUCUAUGCAUGCAUGAGUGUUUGUGUCAUGACUCAUCAUCUUCCUUUCUUUACCUUUAUGAAGGAGAGUCACCUUUAGCCCACCAGGUUGUGUAGGGUGAUCUUGUCUCCUGAUUCUCAUGGUUGAUUGUGAUCUUGUUGAUAAUUUAUUAGGGGACUAAUUAUCAAUAUUAAUGCUUAUAUAAACUAAUGUUAAAAGCUUGGUAUCCCACUUAGGUUGACCUAGUGGUAUUGGUUUGGGAUCUGGGAGUGUGCUCCUCUUUAAAGUCUCUUAAAAAAAAUGUUACAAGCUUGUUUUGAUAUCUGAUCGUGCGAUUUUGGCUCUUAUUUUUUGAGCCAUUUUGACACAUAAAAUUUUUUACUCUUUGUUUUUCAACGUUAAAAACUAUCAUUUUUACCGGCAAUUUAUCCUUUAUCCUUUAUCUUUCUAUAUUUUGUUUUUUUACUGGCCUUUCAUUAGGUUAAUAGUUUUUGAAACAUCCAUGAUUCAUAUUUAACAUUAUUUGAAGAAGUUAAGAAACUCGUGAGGCAUAGUUGCUUUCUUUCUUUAACUUGAUUGCUUUUUAAAAAAGAAAAUUUUGUUGAAAACUAUUAGUCAAACUAUCACACCACUUCCUAUAUCUUACACCAUUCGGUCACUAUUAAUAGAUUAUAUAUAUCAUUUAUUGAAUGAACCUAAAAAAUAUAUUUUUAUUUAUAAUAUUAUAAUAGUGACUGGAAUGUGUAAUAGAUAUUUUAUAUUGUCUCAUUUAUUUUCUUUCAUUCUUUCUUCCAAUCCUUGCAAGAACAGCUCUAUAUAUAUAUAUAGCUAGCCAAUACCAACGUUCCAUCAUACCACAUCUAUCUAAUCAUUAACAAUCAUCAUCCAAUAAUAAGAUGAAGAUUACUCCUAUACUUUUCCUUUUCACUCUCCUCUCAUCCACCACUUCCUAUGCUUCUGUUCAUGAUUUUUGUGUAGGAGAUAUAAAAGCUCCAGAAACACCUACAGGCUAUCACUGCAUGCCUCUUGCAAACAUCACAUCGGACGAUUUCGUCUUUCACGGCUUUGUAGCCGGAAACACUAACAACUCUUUCAACGCUGCACUUACCUCGGCGUUUGUCACCGAUUUUCCAGCUCUUAACGAUCUUGGAAUCUCCGCGGCGCGGUUAGACAUAGCAAAAGGCGGAUCUAUUCCAAUGCAUACUCAUCCUGGCGCUACCGAAUUAUUGAUUAUGGUUCAUGGUGAAAUAACUGCUGGGUUUCUAACAACUACUGCAGUUUAUUCAAAAACGUUGAAACCGGGUGAUCUUAUGGUUUUUCCCCAAGGGAUGUUGCAUUUUCAAGUUAAUUCUGGUAAGGGAAAAGCUACUGCUUUUCUUACUUUUAGUAGUGCAAAUCCUGGUG
rnacentral:lncRNA from 1 species